rnacentral:rRNA from 1 species
CCUACGGGUGGCUGCAGUGGGGAAUAUUGGACAAUUGGCGAAAGCCUGAUCCAGCCAUGCCGCGUGUGUGAAGAAGGCCUUCGGGUUGUAAAGCACUUUCAGUGGGGAAGAAAGCCUUGGGGCUAAUACCCUCGAGGAAGGACAUCACCCACAGAAGAAGCACCGGCUAACUCCGUGCCAGCAGCCGCGGUAAUACGGAGGGUGCGAGCGUUAAUCGGAAUUACUGGGCGUAAAGCGCGCGUAGGCGGUCUGAUAAGCCGGUUGUGAAAGCCCCGGGCUCAACCUGGGAACGGCAUCCGGAACUGUCAGGCUAGAGUGCAGGAGAGGAAGGUAGAAUUCCCGGUGUAGCGGUGAAAUGCGUAGAGAUCGGGAGGAAUACCAGUGGCGAAGGCGGCCUUCUGGACUGACACUGACGCUGAGGUGCGAAAGCGUGGGUAGCAAACAGGAUUAGAUACCCGAGUAGUC